GGGUCCAAAUUUCCCCACAAGAAAUUGAGCGCAUGGUUGCUUUUGCAUUCCAAAAGAACGAAUAUUAGAAAACAUUGAAAAAAAGUCUGAGAUAAUACAAUUAUAUUCUACUAGAAAUAAACUCGAUAGUGUGCGCUAAUUAGAUAAUGUGAUAAUCAUGUUUAAAAACUCUUUUCAAGUCUUAUUUUUCAGAAAAUAAUAUUGUGGAUCAGAUUGCUCUGAGCGCUUCUGUUGUAUACCAAGAAAAUGCACCCCUAUUGGUUAUUAUUUCUGUAUCGCAAAGCGACUAUUAAUUACAAGCACAGCAUCAUCAACGGUGAUUGCAAGAACUACUGCAAUCCCUGCGGUUUUUCCUCUUGGUAAAUGCGUUCUGGUCGUGACCAAGGGUGGUCUCCCAAUCGGCCGGGAAUAAGGCUAUUGUUGCAGAACAAAACGCCACAACCACCGCUGUGGUAAAUAUGUUCCAGCAGUACUGCCCACCGCCGUCGGUGUAAUGAUUUCGAUAGCUGAACAAAUGCUAUUAUAUCACGUGUGAAUGCAACUGCGGCUAAAUUUGGUUAUUAACAGAGCAAUAGUGCCAUGUCAUUGGCAAAAACACCAAGGGAUGCUGGCACAUAGAGGUUGUAAAGUUUUUGGAAUCGAUGAACUUACUCGAAGAAGACGAUGGUCGAAAACAUAUGAUGAAACAUCUUCUGGCGUGCCUUUGACAAUCGUUAAGUUAGACGGAGGCUUCACAUACGAUAUUUCACACAUGGCUGGAAUUCGUUAGCGGACAGAGCACACAUUUACAAAAUAUUUACCGUUCUGCAGAACGUGCAUGCAUAUUCGAUUCCGAUUUUAUGGGUCGAUUACGGAGGACAACCGAACUUCAGUUGGUUGGCCAGUGGCUGAAAUGGUAUUACCGAUGGCAACU